rnacentral:lncRNA from 1 species
AUGGUACUGUUAAUAAAACCCCACUGUGGAGGUGACAAAGGAGACCCUGCGGUCAGUUUUACAGCCAUCCGCAGUAUGGCACAGCCCCGAGACGUUCCCGGAACAACUUCGUCCCGAGCGAGACACAAAGAGAUGUCACGGAGUGAUCCAGAGCGGAACAGGCAGUGCCAGUCAGUGAGAGAGAAGAAACACCCACUGCAAGUGCAGGCUCUGGUCUUGAGGCUCAUCAGCCCAUCCUCUUUGCACUUCUUCGCUGCAGAGACCGCAGCCAGGCGCGGAGCUCGAGUCACGGCCACGGGUCACAGGAUUCUCACAAGGGUGAAUUUUCAAAGCGGUGAUUCAUCGGGGAAGCUGGUAAUUUUCAUUCUCUGGGUCCUCGCUGAAUGCCAGCUCCGAGGCUUUGAGCGCGGCGUGAUGACACUCACCAGACAUUACGAAAUAAAUCACAGCAUGAGAAUGUGUUGUCUGCGAAACCAAUUAUACGUUGUUCCCUGGCUAUUUUUGAGGAUGGUUCUAAAUUUGUUGAGUUGGGGUGGAGAAGGACACUGAUUCUCUCAUAGUUCUGUGUAGAGCCCCACAUAGGACUGCUGCCUCUCCUCCCUGAACUAUUUAAACUAUAGCUGUCAAUGUUUGCCGGCUUUUCACAUUUGCAAACAUAUGCUAGGGCUCUGCUCCCACGGCAAGUGGCAACUAAGGGAAUUUGAUGGAGAACUGGGAGACCUGAGCUCCAUUUCCAGCUGAUUCUGUGCAAAGAUUUGUGUUCAUC